AAUAUUGGGCAAUGGGCGAAAGCCUGACCCAGCAACGCCGCGUGAGCGAUGGAGGCCUUCGGGUCGUAAAGCUCUUUUCCCAAGGAAGAGGAAGGACGGUACUUGGGGAAUAAGUCACGGCUAACUACGUGCCAGCAGCCGCGGUAAAACGUAGGUGGCGAGCGUUAUCCGGAUUCACUGGGCGUAGAGGGCACGCAGGCGGCUCGGCAGGUAGGGCAUGAAAUCUCCCGGCUUAACUGGGAGAGGCUGUCCUAAACCGCUGGGCUUGAGGGCGGGAGAGGGAAGUGGAAUUGCCGGUGUAGUGGUGAAAUGCGUAGAGAUCGGCAGGAACACCAGUGGCGAAGGCGACUUCCUGGUCCGCCCCUGACGCUCAUGUGCGAAAGCUAGGGUAGCGAACGGGAUUAGAAACCCCGGUAGUCCUAGCCGUAAACGAUGUAUACUAGGUGUCGGUGGUAUUGACCCCAUCGGUGCCGAAGCAAACGCGUUAAGUAUACCGCCUGGGGACUACGGCCGCAAGGCUA
rnacentral:rRNA from 1 species